CUUCUUUAUCUUAUCAUUGACCUAAGCCUGGGCGUAUGAGGCUUUCUAACUUUGUUUUUAGUAAGGAAACUCUGUUUCUUUUCAACUCUGUUAGUGAUCUCGAAUCGAGCUUGAUACCUAGUGGGGAUUAUUGCGUUGGAUUGAUCAGUCGAUAAUCCCCUUAUGACUUCAGGAAGAGACAAAAGAUCAAUGUUUUAUGUGAAAAAAAGGGGUCUUUAAGAUCUCUUAAUCUGGCUGCUGGUGCGAGCUUCUAGCUUUCUAGAUGGGACUUUCUAAAUGAGUUGAUUCUCCUGCAAAUCCAGCCGAAAUGCUUU
rnacentral:lncRNA from 1 species